UGUGGUUUAAUUCGAUGCAACGCGAAGAACCUUACCAGGGUUUGACAUAAUGUGAAUUUCUUUGAAAGAAGAAAGUGCCUUCGGGAACACAUAUACAGGUGGUGCAUGGCUGUCGUCAGCUCGUGUCGUGAGAUGUUGGGUUAAGUCCCGCAACGAGCGUAACCCUUGUUUUUAGUUACCUUUAUUUGGAUAUCUAGAAAGACUGCCGAUUAUAAAUCGGAGGAAGGUAAGGACGACGUCAAGUCAUCAUGCCCCUUACACCCUGGGCUACACACGUGCUACAUUGGGUAGAACAGUGAGUCGCUAAGUUGUGAAACCAAGCUAAUCUUCAAAUCUACUCUAAGUU
rnacentral:rRNA from 1 species